CUGUCUCCUAGUCUGUCUAAGGUCAAUAAAAGUAGGUAUUAAAUAAAACUAAUAAAAGUGUACGAGAAUCAAACACCUACUAAUUAAUACGUACAUAAUUACUUAUAUAUUAUUUGUCAAUUAUCUCUUACAAUACGGUUUUAAAAAGUACCGACUGGUCAUUUGGAAGUUACUACAAGAUCCUGAACAAGUCACUAUCAUGUUUUGGAAACAUAGCAUCUGAAAAUGUCUGAACAUAAUCAAAAGCUAGCCCUUAAAAGACAUGUCAUUUCGUUGGAGCAAAAAAUACAAAUUUUAGAUCGCCUUAAAAAUGAGAAAUCAUCAGAUGUUGCAAAGUCAUUAGGUUUUAAUGAGGCAACAGUUCGGACCAUACAAAGAAAUGAACAAAAAAUACGAGCUUCAGUUACUUCUGGUUCAUUGCUGUCUGCAAAUAAGAGAGCUCGUUCCAGAGCACCAAUCAUUGAAAAAAUGGAAAAAUCCCUUAAUAUUUGGAUUCAAGACUGUUCAAAAAAACGAACUCGAAUAGAUUCUACCAUCAUUAAACAAAGAGCACUAAGAAUAUACAAUUUCUUAAAGGAGAAUGAAGAACCUGAUACUGAUGCCAAUUUCGUUGCUAGCCGAGGUUGGUUUGAGCGUUUCCGAAAGCGAUUCUCUUUACACAACAUUACAAUAGAAGGAAAGAAUGGUUAUGCCGUUCAUGUAACCCCCAAAACUUACCCAAAGGAAUUGGAAAAAAUUAUGAACAGGGUGGAUUUACACAUCAAGAUAGUUAAUAAAAAUGGUUUUAAAACUAAAGUAAGAUAAGAUAUUAAAAUAGAAGUCUAACUAUUGGAGCCUGUAGCCCAAAAGUGAUAUUAUAAUUAAACCAGCUCUCUUUAAUUAGAGGAAAGUGUUAAUAUUGAAGGUAUCAAUAUGUAACUCGGGAUAAAAUGGAAGAAGAUAUUUUACCAGCUGAUUCAGAAACUGAUAGUACUAAGAAUGUGAGACAAAUAGUGGUAUCAACCCUAGUUUCUGAAGAUUUUGUAUUUUGUUUCGCUGUACUUUCGGAAAGAUGAUACUUUGACUAAAACACAAUUUUAAUUUUAUGAAAAACUUGAGAUGAUUGAUGAUAUGCUUACCAUCCUUAGUUGCUUUGCUAUUAUUAAGCAUUACAAAUAGGCAAAACAAAUAGGCAAAACAAAUUUAUUCAAACUAAAGUAUGCUAAAAGUAGAAAAUGAAAACAUAAAAAUGAAGUAUUGUAAUGAAAGUCAAACUUAUUCAAUCAAAUAGUAGUAUUUUAAAUUAAAUUGAUUGCAUGUUUUAAACUUAAAUGAAAUUGUUUAUCAUGCUGGUCUAUCCAUAAUGUUUUUAAAUAUAAUCAUCAAAUAAUGAUUUAAUUCACACAUUUUUUAUUUAAGGAAACAAUUAUUUUUUUUGUAAUUAUUAUCCUACAGUUGUAUGAUGAUUUAUUCAUUGUAAAUAAAACUAUUUGCUUUGAAAUUUCAAUUUUUUAUUGUAUUAGGUACUUAUCACAUUUUUUAAACUAAAUACUUCAAGAAAUUUAACAAGCAAGUUAAUGAUCUUCGUAGCCACUGGGCAAGGCAUUGACAUGGGGAUUGUGGAAGAGAGA